rnacentral:siRNA from 1 species
GGACUAACCGAAUCAGCCGAAA